UUGACUUAUUCAUAAACAAGACAUCUGACAAAAUAAUGUUAAAACAGAGUUGAACUAAACUGCCAAGGACUGGCCCCGCCAUACAGCAAGACCUGCACCAAGAACAGUUCAGACAUUCUAAACAAAGGGGAGAGAAGUUCAGGCCGAAGCCUGUAUCAACUCGAUAAUGAUCCUUCCGCAGGUUCACCUACGGAAA
rnacentral:misc_RNA from 1 species